GAUGAACGCUGACAGAGUGCUUAACACAUGCAAGUCUUUGGCGAAGCUGUGCUUGCACAGCCUAUCCAGUUCGGACGGGUGAGUAACGCGUCAGGAACUUGCCCUACAUUUAGGGAUAACAUACGUAAACGACUGAUAAGACCUGAUAAGGUCAUGCGUACUCAUGUCUGGCUUGAUGAAAAAAGAUGCUUCUGGAGUGGCUUGCGUCCUAUUUGCUUGUUGGUGGGGUAACUGGCCAACAAGGCGAUGAUAGAUAGCCGGCCUGAGAGGGUAGACGGCCACGAGGGGACUGGGAGGCGGCCGUUACUCCUACGGGAGGAAGCAGUGGAGAAUAAUGGAGAAUCGCGGCAACACUGAUGAAGCUAUUCUGUGUGUAAGAUGCAGGUAUUCGGAUUGUAAAGUGGUUUAAGCGAGGAAGAAAAAAAUGACGGUACCUGAAGAAGAAGCGACGGCUAAAUACGUG
rnacentral:rRNA from 1 species